AAAUAACACACUGGAAAUAUGAUACAUUUUGAAAGAUUUGUGAAACCUACUCCAAUAAUUUUUGAAAAAGUAUUUUUACAGUGGAAUAUUUGUGAAAUAGUUCUUAAAUUGCAACUUUUUUUGUUUGUUUGUUUGUUUCAAACUAUCCUGUCCAGCAUUUGAUUGCACAAAAGAUUGUUAUGUCCAGUUUAUGAAUACGACGGCUAAACCUUGCCAAUCCAGUGAAUAUUUCUGUAAGAUAACGCAACAGGACACAGGUUACUCUGUCAGCUGCAGUGCCUCAUGUGGUGUAUCCUGCGGGAACGGGACUGUCAGUAAUUGCUCUGUGCACUGUUGCAACACAACCAACUGCCUCAGCAACACCCUGCUUGACAUGUCCAGUUCACUCAGUACAACAGUAGCUACAACAAACUCCACUACUACAACCACAACAAUCAAGGCCACAGUUACAACCACCCAAGCAAAUAAUGUAAGAACACACACAGCGAUUUGUCACUGUAGGGAGGGCAUAAAUCAGCAUUUUGUGCCACCUUCUGACUUUUCUUUGUUUUUCUUACUCCCAAAAGGCAAGAAGUGUAAUACUUUCAACUGUAAUGGGGUGGCGUGUUACAAAACCAAUAAUGUCGGCAGUAAUGUCAUGCUGUGUCCAGUUGGUCAGGACUACUGCAUGGUAAAGUAAAAACAACAAAUAAAUCAUAAUUUAUUUUAUAAUUU